GAAGUAAAAGUCGUAACAAGGUCUCCGUUGGUGAACCAGCGGAGGGAUCAUUACUGAGUUUACGCUCUAUAACCCUUUGUGAACAUACCUAUAACUGUUGCUUCGGCGGGUAGGGUCUCCGUGACCCUCCCGGCCUCCCGCCCCCGGGCGGGUCGGCGCCCGCCGGAGGAUAACCAAACUCUGAUUUAACGACGUUUCUUCUGAGUGGUACAAGCAAAUAAUCAAAACUUUUAACAACGGAUCUCUUGGUUCUGGCAUCGAUGAAGAACGCAGCGAAAUGCGAUAAGUAAUGUGAAUUGCAGAAUUCAGUGAAUCAUCGAAUCUUUGAACGCACAUUGCGCCCGCCAGCAUUCUGGCGGGCAUGCCUGUUCGAGCGUCAUUUCAACCCUCAAGCUCUGCUUGGUGUUGGGGCCCUACAGCUGAUGUAGGCCCUCAAAGGUAGUGGCGGACCCUCCCGGAGCCUCCUUUGCGUAGUAACUUUACGUCUCGCACUGGGAUCCGGAGGGACUCUUGCCGUAAAACCCCCCAAUUUUCCAAAGGUUGACCUCGGAUCAGGUAGGAAUACCCGCUGAACUUAAGCAUAUC
rnacentral:rRNA from 1 species